AUUGAACGCUGGCGGCAGGCCUAACACAUGCAAGUCGAGCGGCAGCGGGAAAGUAGCUUGCUACUUUUGCCGGCGAGCGGCGGACGGGUGAGUAAUGCCUGGGGAUCUGCCCAGUCGAGGGGGAUAACAGUUGGAAACGACUGCUAAUACCGCAUACGCCCUACGGGGGAAAGGAGGGGACCUUCGGGCCUUUCGCGAUUGGAUGAACCCGGGUGGGAUUAGCUAGUUGGUGGGGUAAUGGCUCACCAAGGCGACGAUCCCUAGCUGGUCUGAGAGGAUGAUCAGCCACACUGGAACUGAGACACGGUCCAGACUCCUACGGGAGGCAGCAGUGGGGAAUAUUGCACAAUGGGGGAAACCCUGAUGCAGCCAUGCCGCGUGUGUGAAGAAGGCCUUCGGGUUGUAAAGCACUUUCAGCGAGGAGGAAAGGUUGGCGCCUAAUACGUGUCUACUGUGACGUUACUCGCAGAAGAAGCACCGGCUAACUCCGUGCCAGCCGCCGCGGUAA
rnacentral:rRNA from 1 species